UCCUAACCAUCUAUGCAACAAAUGCAUAUUUUUAUCAGAAGAGAGCAAAUGCUUUCCUUAAAUUUGCUUGCACUUCUUUUCUUUCUGCACUCAAAAAAAUACUAGAAAAACAAACACAUUUUUUAUGCUAAGUAUCAUAAAAAAUGCCAAACCCAAAAUUCAAGUUCUUGCACUUCAUAAUUCUAAUAAGGUAAUUCUAUGGAAAAAUCCUAAAAUUAAAAAUCCAAAGCCAAAUCAUGGAUCCGGCUUAGUAAAAUUUUCAGCAUGCCUGCAACUAGCAUCAUGUCUAUUACGUUCAUCAGCAUCUAACUCUUUUGGUUCGAUACUAUCACUUAAAAUAUUAUCUAUUUCAAUUGCUGGCUGAUAAUAAA
rnacentral:lncRNA from 1 species